rnacentral:tRNA from 1 species
GGGUGUAGCGCAGCUUGGUAGCGUGCUUGACUGGGGGUCAAGAGGCCGAAGGUUCAAAUCCUUUCACCC